rnacentral:rRNA from 1 species
CGGAUAGGCCCUGCUUUUGUGGGGUGCUCGAGUGGCGAACGGGUGAGUAACACGUGAGUAACCUGCCCUUGACUUUCGGGAUAACUUCAGGAAACUGGGGCUAAUACCGGAUAGGAGCUCCUGCUGCAUGGUGGGGGUUGGAAAGUUUCGGCGGUUGGGGAUGGACCCGCGGCUUAUCAGCUUGUUGGUGGGGUAGUGGCUUACCAAGGCUUUGACGGGUAGCCGGCCUGAGAGGGUGACCGGCCACAUUGGGACUGACAUACGGUCCACACUCCUACGGGAGGCAGCAGUGGGGAAUAUUGCACAAUGGGCGGAAGCCUGAUGCAGCAACGCCGCGUGCGGGAUGACGGCCUUCCGGUUGUAAACCGCUUUCGCCUGUGACGAAACGUGAGUGACGGUGAUGGGUAAAGAAGCACCGGCUAACUACGUGCCAACAGCCGCGGUGAUACGUAGGGUGCGAGCGUUGUCCGGAUUUAUUGGGCGUAAAGGGCUCGUAGGUGGUUGAUCGCGUCGGAAGUGUAAUCUUGGGGCUUAACCCUGAGCGUGCUUUCGAUACCGGUUGACUUGAGGAAGGUAGGGGAGGAUGGAAUUCCUGGUGGAUCGAUGGAGUGCGCAGAUAUCAAGAGGAACACCAGUCGCGAAUGCGGUUCUCUGGGCCUUUCCUGACGCUGAGAGAGCGAAACCGUGGGGAGCGAACAAGCUUACAUACCCUGGUAGUCCACGCUGUAGACGGUGGGUACUAUGUGUGGGGUCCAUUCCACGGGUUCCGUGCCGUAGCCUACGCUAUAAGUACCCUGCCUCGGGAGUACGGCCGCAAGGCUAAGACUCAUAUGAAUUGACGGCG